AGAACACCAGGCUCAUAAGAGGCCACUACAGUCUUCUUGGCUUUGACUUGAGUGGUGUAGGAUUCUGCGUGGGUAAAUGACCAGACUGGAAUUGGAAAGAAGUGUGGGAGAUCCAUGCUUCUUGCCUUGAGCCCUCCUUGAAAUUUGGAAGCAAAUGGAUGGAACUAGAAAAAAAAAUCAUCCUGAGUGAGGUGACCUAGACCGAGGAAGACAAACGUCAUAUCUACUGUAUGACACUGCAGACCUGCUACAAGUACUUGAAGGAGGAGACUGAACAUGGCCAGUGGUGUAGCUCC